rnacentral:rRNA from 1 species
CCUACGGGUGGCAGCAGUAGGGAAUAUUUCUCAAUGGGGGAAACCCUGAAGCAGCAACGCCGCGUGGAGGAUGAAGGUUUUCGGAUUGUAAACUCCUUUUGUUAUAGAAGAUAAUGACGGUAUCUAACCAAUAAGCACCGGCUAACUCCGUGCCAGCAGCCGCGGUAAUACGGAGGGUGCAAGCGUUAUCCGGAAUCACUGGGCGUAAAGAUCGCGUAGGCGGGAUCGAAAGUCGGAUGUGAAAUCCUAUGGCUUAACCAGAGAACGGCAUUUGAAACUGUUAUUCUGGAGUAAGGGAGGGGUAAGUGGAAUUCUUGGUGUAGGAGUGAAAUCCGUAGAGAUCGAGAGGAACACUCAUUGCGAAGGCGGCUUGCUAGAACAUAACUGACGCUGAUGCGCGAAAGCGUGGGGAGCAAAAAGGAUUAGAUACCCUGGUAGUC